UUCCCCAGGCAGCAUGUGAGGCUGGGGUGGCACUCGACACAGGACGGCAGGCAAGGGCAUGCCGCCCUCCAGGCUGAGGGUCUCGGGGGCCUCCCCUCCCAGCCCCUGCUGUGGCCUCCCCCUGGGGCCUGGCAUGGGAGGAGUUAAGCUGCCGCGGGCACCUUGGCACAUUGCGCUGCCCAGAGUGUCCGGCUCCCCACCCCCACUGCUUUUCUUCCUUUUUGCCUUUUUCCUUCUUAAUUAAUCAUACGCUGCUGCCCAAUUUAAAUAUGGAAAUGCCCAGGCCGAGGCGAUGCAAUUAUUCAUGAGGGCCGGGCGGCUGUCCGGGGCUCGCGGGCUAUGGGGAGUACCGUGGCAUCGCCUCCGUUCUGAUGUGUGUGAAAUUAUGUGCACAAAAGGCGCCUCCUUAUCUGGGUGUGUGAACUAAAUAAAUAAAUAAGGGCUUUUGUUUGUUUGCCGGCUCCUGCA
rnacentral:antisense_RNA from 1 species